GACGAACGCUGGCGGCGUGCUUAACACAUGCAAGUCGAACGGAAAGGCCCUGCUUUUGUGGGGUGUUCGAGUGGCGAACGGGUGAGUAACACGUGAGUAACCUGCCUUUGACUUUGGGAUAACUUCAGGAAACUGGGGAUACUACCGGAUAGGAGAUCCUGCUGGAUGGUGGGGGUUGGAAAGUUUCGGCGGUUGGGGAUGGACGGGGGGCUUAUCAGCUUGUGGGUGGGGUAGUGGCUUACGAAGGCUUUGGCGGGUGGCCGGCCUGGGAAGGUGACCGGCCACAUUGGGACUGAGAGACGGCCCAGACUCCUACAGGAGGCAGCAGUGGGAAGUAUUGCACAAUGGGCGGGAGCCUGAUGCAGCAGCGCCGCGUGCGGGAUGACGGCCUUCGGGUUGGAAACCGCUUUCGCCUGUGACGAAGCGUGAGUGACGGUAAUGGGUAAAGAAGCACCGGCUAACUACGUG
rnacentral:rRNA from 1 species